CUUUAGGUUUGCCAGAUAAAUGAGGCAGAGUGCUUGGAAACGUACUCAGAAGUAAACUCGUGAAACAUCCAGAAACCUUGUGUAUAUAGGAACUGGUGGAAGUUUCCAGGAAUCCUCAAAGCUGGAUGUGAGGAGUGCUGGUUGUGAGGUGUGAAGGGUUAAUGACAGAGGUGCUGUCUCUGUUUUCAAAGCUGGGUGGGAGGUUCGAGGCAGCACAUAACAUAAAAACUGGAUAAAAACAUUAUAAAUCUACAAGUGCGUUUACUAAAUACAUGUAUUAUUAUGCUAAUGUAAUUUAAUUGAUAAAGGUUUUUUUUAUUUAAGAAAAUCUGAGCAUCACUGAAAAAACUGUCAACGUGUUUGUCAACUAAACAUGUUUUGUAAACGUUAUACAUUUUAUAAAAAUAUUUUAUAUUUUUAUUAUUGAUAAAGUAUAAAGAACAAAUCAGUGUGAAACGCAGAUUAUAAAAAGUACAUAAAGUGCCAGCAGAGGAUCCAAAAUAAUGAAGAAAAAAAAACACAUUUGAAACAUCCAAUGCAUCUUGGAACUCGUAGUCAAAUUUACAUCUACAGCAUGUAAGAACGCCAGGGCAAAAGACUUCAAUUCCCAGAAUGCACCUGCACCCACCCAUUCAUUCCCACCAAUCAGAAUCAACGGCAUUAUUUCAAACCGCUACUGACUCGGUCUUCGUUUUCAUGCUAAACAGUACGGCUGAGAGGUCAUGUACCACGUGGUCGACCUUGCUGAUGCUGAAGAGGUUUCUGUGUUAAAAUGAUGACAUUGAGACAAACAGACCAGUUCCGGCUUCCGUGGAGGUCAACACACCACUGAUCUACUGGCUGCCCUUCAACGUGAUGCCCAGCCGAUGCCUGACCACCGACGGAACGCUCUAAAUCUCCUUAUCCGUUUACAUCCCAUAUAUAUAUAUGUGUAUAUCUUUUCCUCCUAGGACUUUUUGUUCCUCCCUGAGGUUUUUCUCCUAGGGGUUUUUUCAACCUCGGGGAGUCAACCAACAUUGGCUUAACUUAGCACCCUCUUUUAUACGAGACAUUAUUAAUUUGCUCGCUUGUAAAGUUUAUUCAUAGCCGCUGUAUUUUGCUACUUAUAUUGUCUGUCGAUUUUUCUAUGUUUCCCCUGCUUCUUUUAAUGUAAAGCUGCUUUGAAACAACUACAAAUUGUGAAAAGCACUAUAUAAAUAAAAUUGAAAUUGAAA